rnacentral:rRNA from 1 species
AUGACGGAAGUGGCGUUAGCUAGUGCUGGCUUAAGAUUGGCUGCAUCGCCAGUCCUGAAGAAGCUCCUUGCUAAUGCUUCAACAUUCCUUGGAGUGGACAUGGGGCGUGAGCUCCAUGAACUGGAGACCACUAUCUUGCCACAGUUCGAGCUGGUGAUUGAAGCAGCAAACAAGGGAAACCACAUGACUAGGUUGGAAAAAUGGCUUCAGGAACUCAAAGACGCCUUCUACAUGGCUGAAGACUUGCUGGAUGAGCACGAGUACAACCUCCUCAAGCGCAAAGCAAACGGGAAGGAUUCCUUGCCUGGCAAUGCCUCCUCCAUCAGCAGCACUUUUAUGAAGCCUUUACGUGCUGCGUCGAGCAGGCUGUCCAAUCUGAGCUCUGAGAACAUAAAGCAAAUUAGCCAGCUGAAUGAACUGAGGGCUACACUGGCGAAAGCCAAGGAAUUCCAUGAACUGCUCUGCUUACCAGCUAGUUGUGAUCCAGAGAGCCCCACAAUACCAUCAGCUGUUGUUCCCGAGACCACAUCACUACCACCUCUGAAAGUGAUUGGUCGUGAUAAGGAUUGCAAUCAUAUAAUACAUUGUCUUACCAAGACAACUGCUACUACAGAGUGUAGUAUAGCUAUGUACUCAAGUUUGGCCAUUGUUGGAGCUGGAGGCAUGGGAAAGUCCACCUUGGUGCGGCUUGUUUACAAUUGCAAGAGGGUAAAAGAAUAUUUUGAUGUGACAAUGUGGGUAAGCAUCUCACGGAAACUUGAUGUCCGCCGUCAUACGCGGGAGAUUAUAGAGUCUGCCUCUCAGGGGGGAUGUCCUCAAAUUGAUAACCUUGAUACUCUACAGCGCAAGUUGACCGACAUUCUACAAGAAUCCAGAAAAUUCCUGCUUGUGUUGGAUGAUGUUUGGUUUGAACCUGGCAGUGAGAGGGAAUGGGACCAACUGUUGGCUCCUCUAGCUUCCCAACAGACGGGAAGUAAAGUUUUGGUAACUUCUCAACGGGAUAUAUUUCCAGCUGCUCUUUGCUGUGAAGAAGUGUUUCCUCUGCAAAAGAUGGAAGAUGCUCAGUUCUUGGCACUCUUCAAGCACCAUGCAUUCUCUGGACCAAAAACUGGAAAUCCAAAGUUGCAUGAAAGGUUGGAAGAUUUUGCAAAGAAGAUCACUAAAAGACUUGGACAAUCUCCUUUGGCAGCAAAAGUUGUGGGCUCUCAGUUAAAAGGGAAGACAGAUAUCAAUGCAUGGAAGGAUGCUCUAACUAUGAAGGUUGACAAAUUAAGUGAGCCCGUGAGAGCUCUAUUGUGGAGUUAUGAGAAGUUAGAUCCAUGUCUGCAGAGGUGCUUCCUAUAUUGCAGCUUGUUUCCAAAAGGCUACAAAUAUGGCAUUGAUGAUUUGGUUCAUCUUUGGAUGGCUGAGGGCCUUGUUGAUUCACCCAACCAAACCAAAAGAGUGGAAGAUGUAGGGAGUGAUUGCUUCAAGGAGAUGAUCUCUGCUUCAUUCUUUCAACCAGUUAAUGAGGAAAACACUUCCACGUACUAUGUAAUGCAUGAUCUCCUUCAUGAUCUGGCAGAAUUACUCUCCAAAGAAGACUACUUCAGACUGGAAGAUGAUAAGGUGACGGAAAUACCAUCCACUGUUCGACAUUUAUCUGUCUGUGUUGAUAGUAUGAUGCGACAGAAGCAAAGUAUCUGCAAGCUACAUCGUUUACGCACUAUUAUCUGCAUAGGCUUCGUAACAGAUGAUGUAACUGAACUUUUCAACCAGAUGCUACAGAAUUUGAAGAAGUUGCGUGUACUAUGUUUGUUAUCUUAUAACCGUACUAAGUUGCCAGAAUCAGUUGGUGAGUUAAAGCACCUUCGGUAUUUGAACAUCAGCGGAACACCGGUUUCUGAAUUGCCAAGAUCACUUUGUAGUCUUUACCACUUGCAGGUACUUCUAUUAAAUGGAAAAGCUGACAGUUUUCCUGAGAAACUCUGCAAUUUAACAAAGUUGCGGCAUCUUCAAUGGUCAUACAACGAAGGAAUGCCUCAAAUUCCAAACAUUGGGAAGCUAACUUCGCUCCAACAAUUUGAUAAUUUUUCUGUGCAAAAGAAAAAAGGAUAUGAGUUGCAACAGCUGAGGGACAUGAACGAGAUUCGUGGCAGUUUAUGUGUGACAAAUCUUGAGAAUGUCACUGGGAAGGAUGAAGCCUUAGAAUCAAAGUUGCACCAGAAAAGUCAUCUUGGCAGCUUACUACUUCUCUGGAGUUACAAAAAUUACACAAAUGCAGAGGAUAGUUUACAUUUGGCGGUUCUAGAAGGCUUGAUGCCACCACCUCAACUUGAGGAUAUAUCCAGGCUGGUUACUUGA